rnacentral:rRNA from 1 species
AGGGAAUAUUGGACAAUGGGCGCAAGCCUGAUCCAGCCAUGCCGCGUGAGUGAAGAAGGCCCUCGGGUUGUAAAGCUCUUUUGUCCGGAAAGAAAAGCUUUGGGUUAAUACCCCGAAGUCCUGACGGUACCGGAAGAAUAAGCACCGGCUAACUUCGUGCCAGCAGCCGCGGUAAUACGAAGGGUGCAAGCGUUACUCGGAAUUACUGGGCGUAAAGCGUGCGUAGGUGGUUUGUUAAGUCUGAUGUGAAAGCCCUGGGCUCAACCUGGGAAUGGCAUUGGAUACUGGCAGGCUAGAGUGCGGUAGAGGGCAGUGGAAUUCCCGGUGUAGCAGUGAAAUGCGUAGAGAUCGGGAGGAACAUCUGUGGCGAAGGCGACUGCCUGGACCAGCACUGACACUGAGGCACGAAAGCGUGGGGAGCAAAC